rfam:Schistosoma rodhaini strain Burundi genome assembly, scaffold: SROB_scaffold0005387
GCACUGCUGAGGAGUCCCAUAAUAGGACGAAACGGCCUUCCAUUGC